rnacentral:rRNA from 1 species
AUUGAACGCUGGCGGCAGGCCUAACACAUGCAAGUCGAGCGGCAGCGGGAAAGUAGCUUGCUACUUUUGCCGGCGAGCGGCGGACGGGUGAGUAAUGCCUGGGAAAUUGCCCAGUCGAGGGGGAUAACAGUUGGAAACGACUGCUAAUACCGCAUACGCCCUACGGGGGAAAGCAGGGGACCUUCGGGCCUUGCGCGAUUGGAUAUGCCCAGGUGGGAUUAGCUAGUUGGUGAGGUAAUGGCUCACCAAGGCGACGAUCCCUAGCUGGUCUGAGAGGAUGAUCAGCCACACUGGAACUGAGACACGGGCCAGACUCCUACGGGAGGCAGCAGUGGGGAAUAUUGCACAAUGGGGGAAGCCCUGAUGCAGCCAUGCCGCGUGUGUGAAGAAGGCCUUCGGGUUGUAAAGCACUUUCAGCGAGGAGGAAAGGUUGAUGCCUAAUACGUAUCAACUGUGACGUUACUCGCAGAAGAAGCACCGGCUAACUCCGUGCCAGCAGCCGCCGUAA